CCUACGGGUGGCAGCAGUGGGGAAUAUUGCACAAUGGGGGAAACCCUGAUGCAGCGACGCCGCGUGAGUGAAGAAGUAUCUCGGUACGUAAAGCUCUAUCAGCAGGGAAGAAAAUGACGGUACCUGACUAAGAAGCCCCGGCUAACUACGUGCCAGCAGCCGCGGUGAUACGUAGGGGGCAAGCGUUAUCCGGAUUUACUGGGUGUAAAGGGAGCGUAGACGGCAGCACAAGUCUGGAGUGAAAUCCCGGGGCUUAACCCCGGAACUGCUUUGGAAACUGUGCUGCUGGAGUGCAGGAGGGGUAAGCGGAAUUCCUAGUGUAGCGGUGAAAUGCGUAGAUAUGAGGAGGAACACCGGUGGCGAAGGCGGCUUACUGGACUGUAACUGACGUUGAGGCUCGAAAGCGUGGGGAGCAAACAGGAUUAGAUACCCGAGUAGUC
rnacentral:rRNA from 1 species